rnacentral:rRNA from 1 species
AACUCUCAACAACGGAUAUCUUGGCUCCCGUAACGAUGAAGAACGCACCGAAAUGCGAUACGUAGUGUGAAUUGCAGAAUUCCGUGAACCAUCGAAUCUUUGAACGCAAAUUGCGCUCGAGGCCUCGGCCAAGAGCAUGUCUGCCUCAGCGUC